rnacentral:rRNA from 1 species
UAAGGAAUAUUGGUCAAUGGACGCAAGUCUGAACCAGCCAUGCCGCGUGAAGGAUUAAGGUCCUCUGGAUUGUAAACUUCUUUUAUCUGGGACGAAAAAAGGCGAUUCUUCGUCACUUGACGGUACCAGAUGAAUAAGCACCGGCUAACUCCGUGCCAGCAGCCGCGGUAAUACGGAGGGUGCAAGCGUUAUCCGGAUUCACUGGGUUUAAAGGGUGCGUAGGCGGGCAGGUAAGUCAGUGGUGAAAUCCUGGAGCUUAACUCCAGAACUGCCAUUGAUACUAUCUGUCUUGAAUAUUGUGGAGGUAAGCGGAAUAUGUCAUGUAGCGGUGAAAUGCUUAGAUAUGACAUAGAACACCUAUUGCGAAGGCAGCUUACUACGCAUAUAUUGACGCUGAGGCACGAAAGCGUGGGGAUCAAACAGGAUUAGAUACCCUGGUAGUCCACGCCCUAAACGAUGGAUACUCGACAUACGCGAUACACUGUGUGUGUCUGAGCGAGAGCAUUAAAGUAUCCCCACCUGGGAAGUACGACCGCAAGGUUGAAACUUAAAGGAAUUG